rnacentral:rRNA from 1 species
UACGGGGGGAGCAAACGUUGUUCGGAAUCACUGGGCGUAAAGGGCUCGUAGGCGACCAACUAAGUCAGACGUGAAAUCCCCAGGCUCAACCUGGGAACUGCGUCUGAUACUGGAUGGCUUGAAUCCGGGAGAGGGAUGCAGAAUUCCAGGUGUAGCGGUGAAAUGCGUAGAUAUCUGGAGGAAUACCGGUGGCGAAGGCGGCGUUCUGGACUGCAACUGACACUGAGGAACGAAAGCCAGGGGAGCAAACGGG